ACAUGCCUACAACUUAGUGGUAAUGCAUCGAAUCCCAUUAGAACUCCAUAGUUAAGCACGCUCAAGCUAGAGUAGUAUUGGGAUGGGUGACCACUUGGGAAGUCCUAGUAUUUUGCAUGCC
rnacentral:rRNA from 1 species